UCUGGUGGAGUGAACUAUGUCUCAUUUGCCAGGGACUUUCCUGGAUUAGCACGGGAAGUCCGGGAUUCCGAGACACCCUGGCAAAAUGUGCCCCUCCUGUGCGUGUUAACCGGAAGGCAAAGGAGCCUGGCCACCCCCUCAAGGGGAUGCCCCACAGACCCACAGAUGGCUAAGUCUGGACCUCCAACCAGAACACCCUCCUGGAUGCCCAGGCAGAAACUCGGGGGAUGUCACAGAAGUGACAAGCCUUGGCUUCUUGGAAGUGUCCUAGGGCCAGAGCAAGGAGGGACCCUGGAGAGAUGUGCCGGGUGGAAGCCCGUGAGAAGCCAGCCGCGUGGAAGAGUGCUGUCCAGACAAGAGUCCCCACACUGAGCCUGAGGGUCAGGUGGCGGCAGCAGCCUGUGACAUACGUUGUGCUGGGAAACUGUCACGUGCUGUUUGAGCUCUCUGAGAUUGCACCCUGCCCCCUUUUCAGACCCAAGCCCGUUUGUCUUAGCCUGUCCGAAAGGCCCCCUGUCUAGCUAGGGAUUGGCUGCCACCCCAACUCUGUAACAGGGAGGAAGGAGAAUAGCAAAAGAGGCCAAGAGUAAAGACACUGUGUCCUCAUUCUUAACAGCAGCUGGGGGGGGGUGUGUCUAAAGAGCAUUGGCUGCUCUUGCAGAGGACCUGUAUUCAAUUCCCAGUACCCUUGUGAUACUCAUAACUCCUGUUUCAGGGGCUUGAUCUCUUCCUGGCCUCUGCAGGCAUCAAGCAUGCACACGCAUAUAGUCAUGCAGGCAAAGCAUCGUGCAUAUAAAAUAAAAAUAAUAAAUAAAUCUUAAAAACAGUUAAAAGGUAAACCAUUCCCAAGAGAUACCACUGAUGUUUACUCCCUUACUAUAAAAGCGUCCGCAGUGGGAAAGAGAAGCAAGAAGUUUAGCUAUGAGAAAUGCAGCUGUGGAGAGAAAACUCCAGCUAGCUACUGCCUCAACUUCCCCAGUGAGUUUCUGCUGUGUGCCUUGGGCAAGAAGCAUGCCCAAUCUUUGCUAGAUUCUGGCUUGUGUUUAAAUCCCACUUGGACUUUUUGCUGCCCUGUCAGCAGGGGGCACCAUUCCUUCAGUCCUCCUCUAAGAUAAAGGUAAGACUAGCCUCCUCCUCCAUGGGGCUGUGGGACUCCCUCCAGGCAAGCAGAGCGUGGCUAGGCACUUGGUGGAUGUUUGGGCGGCAUGGUCACCACUUAGGUCCUUCACCUCCCAGGGAAGCCCACGUUUUCAGCACAAAAGCCCAGGCCACAGCCUCCCCAGCAGUGGGCUCAGUCACAGGUCCUGACCUCUAAAGAAAGGCAUGGUGGUGAAGGCAGAGACACAUAGUCAGCAGCCAGAGGGGCAGCCAGAGCAGAGUUCAUGGCCUGCAGAUCCUCAGGGAGUGACACGAACUGGGCCUUGGGUCCUAUGUGUGUUCCCGCCUACCAUUGUCUGCGCUCAGGCCCUGUAGAGUCAUCAGAUAGGUUGUUAAUGAUCACAGAAGGGGACUGAUCUGGUUUCUGAAGAAAAUCUGUUCUAGGAUUAAGCCUUCCAACCAUGGGUAAGGCUCAUUUCGUGGGUGGUCUGUCCUGCUUGGGUGUGGCUGCAGUCUCUUGUCACAAAGACCUUUGACACCGGGCUCCAAGGUGACCCAAAGGGACAACUGAAGUAAGAUAGAAAGUCAGGUAGAGAGCAUGGGAAGAGAUUCCUCACUCCGGAAACUGAACUCUCUCACCAUCUGUGAGGGAAGAAUUCCAUCGUAGUUAGCAGCACAGGCUAAGAUGUUGUCUACACACAGCAUUGGCUUCACAGUGGUCCCAGACAAGAACAUGAAAAUGCUAGUGAGCAUGCUCACGGAAUGAGUGUCUGUCUGUGGCCUUUCUCUUCUCCAUCUGUAAGCCUGCAAUUCUUACAAACAGGGUUGCAACUUCAGCCAUAGCAAAAGUGUGUCUUAGCUUAUGUGUGCAACCCUUGUGACCCUCGGUUUUACCUAAUCUCCUGCAGUCCCACUCAGUGUGCCCCAGGGAGCAUCUGCAGUCCCACUCAGUGUGCCCCAGGGAGCAUCUGCAGUCCCACUCAGUGUGCCCCAGGGACCAUCUGCAGUCCCACUCAGUGUGCCCCAGGGACCAUCUGCAGUCACACUCAGUGUGUCCCAGGGACCAUCUGCAGUCACACUCAGUGUGUCUCAGGGACCAUCUGCAGUCACACUCAGUGUGUCUCAGGGACCAUUCUCUGAUCUCAUUUACUGGGAGAAGAAAGGGAGGAAAGGAAGAAGGAAGAGAAAGAAGGAAAAAGACUAACAAUGUAGCUCAGCUGACAGGGAACUUACCCAGAAUGCUGGAGGCCCUCAGCUGGAUCCCCAGCGCCACAUAAAACCAGUCACGGUGACCCACACCUGCAAUCACAACGUUAGAGGGGAAGAGCCAGAAGUAUCAAAGUUUGCUGUCAUCUUCAGCUAUAAAUUGAGUUAUUGGCCAGCCUGGGCUACAUGCAACCCUGUCUAUAAGUUAAUAAAUAGUGAGAGAAGGAGAGAGUUCUUUAGCAACCCUUUGAGACAUGACCAAUGUCAUCGCAUCAGUGGCGAUGGAGCGGAGACGCAUCACUAACCCCACAGUGUCAGGCAGUUCUUCUCAGAGACCUCUCCUGGGGUGGGAGUGGGGGGAUUCCUGACUGCAUUGUGGAGACUCUCAGGAUGAGCCCAUAGGAGACACAGCUAGAAUGUCUUAGGGGAGAUUUUAACAGAGAGAGAGGCACGUGGAGAUGCCAGCGUAAGACUGGUGUAAGUGCAGACCUCUCAGGAGAGUCACACCUAAGCGUGUGCGUCUUCUGCUGUCCAAGUGCAGGGCACACACAGAAUGCAGUCCCAGUGUCGGGCUCUCAGCCCACUCUGCACAUGGACAAGUGAGGAGCCAGUGGUCCUUGGCAGCUUCCAAGCAGCGGGUGUGUCCCGGCAGAAGACGUGUGCUCCCUAUGGCUGUCACGACGUCACUUGCAACGCAGUGACUUAGAGCAGCUGGGUUUACUCUCUUGCAGCUCAGAGGCUGUUGGCAUGGCUGCAUUCCUUCAGGAUCCACCUCCUUCUUCACCAGGCUUCCAUAGACCAUUGCUUCCCUUCCUCUCUCACCCCCCCUCCCCCUCCCCAUGACCCGGUCUACUCUGCUGGCCAUAUUCAGCCUGGACCCUUCCAGAUGCUUCUGGCUGUUUUCUUCCUCACAUCGACAAUAAAAACCUCCUCAACCAUC